UUUGCCACUGUAAACAUCCUUGACUGGAAGCUGUGAGGCGUUCCCAGGAGCUUUCAGUCGGAUGUUUACAGCGGCAGGCU
ensembl:miRNA